rnacentral:rRNA from 1 species
AUUGAACGCUGGCGGCAUGCUUUACACAUGCAAGUCGAACGGUAACAGGUUAAGCUGACGAGUGGCGAACGGGUGAGUAAUGCAUCGGAACGUGCCCAGUCGUGGGGGAUAACGCAGCGAAAGCUGCGCUAAUACCGCAUACGAUCUCUGGAUGAAAGCGGGGGACCGAAAGGCCUCGCGCGAUUGGAGCGGCCGAUGUCAGAUUAGGUAGUUGGUGGGGUAAAGGCUCACCAAGCCAACGAUCUGUAGCUGGUCUGAGAGGACGACCAGCCACGAUGGGACUGAGACACGGCCCAGACUCCUACGGGAGGCAGCAGUGGGGAAUUUUUGACAAUGGGCGCAAGCCUGAUCCAGCAAUUCCGCGUGCAGGAAGAAGGCCUUCGGGUUGUAAACUGCUUUUGUACGGAACGAAACGGUCCUGGUUAAUACCUGGGGCUAAUGACGGUACCGUAAGAAUAAGCACCGGCUAACUACGUGCCAGCCGCCGCCGUAA